rnacentral:rRNA from 1 species
UACGUAGGGUGCAAGCGUUAAUCGGAAUUACUGGGCGUAAAGGGCGCGUAGGCGGCCAACUAAGUCGGAUGUGAAAUCCCCAGGCUCAACUUGGGAACUGCAUCCGAUACUGGUCGGCUUGAAUCCGGGAGAGGGAUGCAGAAUUCCAGGUGUAGCGGUGAAAUGCGUAGAUAUCUGGAGGAAUACCGGUGGCGAAGGCGGCAUCCUGGACCGGCAUUGACGCUGAUGUGCGAAAGCUAGGGGAGCAAACGGG